rnacentral:rRNA from 1 species
UACGGGGGGGGCAAGCGUUGUUCGGAAUUACUGGGCGUAAAGGGCUCGUAGGCGGCCAACUAAGUCAGACGUGAAAUCCCCCAGGCUCAACCUGGGAACUGCGUCUGAUACUGGAUGGCUUGAAUCCGGGAGAGGGAUGCAGAAUUCCAGGUGUAGCGGUGAAAUGCGUAGAUAGUCUGGAGGAACACCGGUGGCGAAGGCGGCAUCCUGGACCGAGAGUUGACGCUGAUGCGCGAAAGCCAGGGGAGCAAACGGG